GACGGAGGGUGCAAGCGUUGUUCGGAAUUACUGGGCGUAAAGGGCGCGUAGGCGGUCUGUUAAGUUCGGUGUGAAAGCCCUCGGCUUACCCGGGGAACUGCGCCGGAAACCGACAGACUCGAGUACCGGAGAGGAGGGUGGAAUUCCUGGUGUAGCGGUGAAAUGCGUAGAUAUCAGGAGGAACACCGGUGGCGAAGGCGGCCCUCUGGACGGAUACUGACGCUGAGGCGCGAAAGCAUGGGGAGCAAACAGG
rnacentral:rRNA from 1 species